rnacentral:rRNA from 1 species
UACAGAGGGUGCGAGCGUUAAUCGGAAUUACUGGGCGUAAAGCGUGCGUAGACGGUUAUUUAAGUCGGAUGUGAAAGCCCCGGGCUCAGCCUGGGAAUUGCAUUCGAGACUGAAUAGCUAGGGUACGGUAGAGGGAAGUGGAAUUUCCGGUGUAGCGGUGAAAUGCGUAGAUAUCGGAAGGAACAUCAGUGGCGAAAGCGACUUCCUGGACCAGUACCGACGUUCAGGCACGAAAGCGUGGGGAGCAAACAGG